rnacentral:rRNA from 1 species
UGGCCCUACGGGAGGCAGCAGUGGGGAAUAUUGGACAAUGGGGGGAACCCUGAUCCAGCGACGCCGCAUGAGUGAAGAAGUAUUUCGGUAUGUAAAGCUCUAUCAGCAGGGAAGAAAGAAAUGACGGUACCUGACUAAGAAGCCCCGGCUAACUACGUGCCAGCAGCCGCGGUAAUACGUAGGGGGCAAGCGUUAUCCGGAUUUACUGGGUGUAAAGGGAGCGUAGACGGCAAUGCAAGCCAGAUGUGAAAGCCCGGGACUCAACCCCGGGACUGCAUUUGUAACUGUGUAGCUGGAGUGUCGGG